rnacentral:misc_RNA from 1 species
AAAAAAGCUAAUGUCUGGUAUGUACGAUCAAGGAGGAGACGCUGCUCCGUCUUACGGAGCCCCUGGAGGCGGUGGAGGCUACGGUGGUGGAGGCUACGGUGGUGGAGGUGGAGGCUACGGAGGCGGUGGUGGUGCAGGCUAUGGUGGAAAGGGCGGUGACGGUGGAUAUGGCGGUGGAGGCCGGGGCGGCGGUAGAGGCUACGGAGGACGAGGC